rnacentral:rRNA from 1 species
UUUGGUGACGUGUAGUACUAGGAUGGGUGACCUCCUGGGAAGUCCUCGUGUUGCACCUCUUUUUUACGUUUUUUUCUUUUUUUUUACGCCAUUUUCAUCACCGUUUUUUGCAAUUAAAUCCAAUAGUACCACCUAAAUGACUCAAACUACUGUUACCAAAAUUUAUUCGGACACAAACAACCCACUUCACGUCCCCGGGCCCCGCGCCUCACCAAGUUUUCAAACUUAGGCCCAAUGCGAAACCCAUAUAUACAUUGAUCGUGCAAUACUUGACAGGUGCGAUCAUACCAGCACUAAUGCACCGGAUCCCAUCAGAACUCCGUAGUUAAGCGUGCUUGGGCGAGAGUAGUACUAGGAUGGGUGACCUCCUGGGAAGUCCUCGUGUUGCACCUCUUUUUUACGUUUUUUUCUUUUUUUUUUACGCCAUUUUCAUCACCGUUUUUUGCAAUUAAAUCCAAUAGUACCACCUAAAUGACUCAAACUACUGUUACCAAAAUUUAUUCGGACACAAACAACCCACUUCACGUCCCAAACCCGGCUUGGGGGGAUGUAUAGACGUCUCCGAAGGUAUACACAUCCCCAAAACCGGGUACCGAGC